UACAGAGGGCGCGAGCGUUGUCCGGAAUUACUGGGCGUAAAGCGUGCGCAGGCGGCGCGUUAAGACAGGUGUGAAAGCCCCGAGCUUAACUUGGGAAUUGCGCUUGUGACUGGCGUGCUGGAGUGUGGCAGAGGGAGGUGGAAUUCCACGUGUAGCAGUGAAAUGCGUAGAGAUGUGGAGGAACACCGAUGGCGAAGGCAGCCUCCUGGGCCAGCACUGACGCUCAUGCACGAAAGCGUGGGGAGCAAACAGG
rnacentral:rRNA from 1 species